GUGAGCUGAGGGGCGCCCGGAGCCCCAGGCCGGGGGACCUUCCUGGCCGAGCCCCUCUGGAGGACGUGUGCGCAGUUCCGAGUGCGAUCACAGCCUGCUUCUGGUCCAGCCUGUGGAGGUGCGGAGAGAGCGGAGCGGAUCGUACAGUUACUCAACAAGUCUGUUUAUGCCUGUGAUGAGCCCGCGGGGAUGCCAGACCCUGUCCCCGGGAGUUUACGGUUUGUCCUGGCACAACAGUAAUAGCAGCUAACAUUUAUGAACGUGUGUUAUGUACGAGGCACUGUUCAAGUGCUGCCUAAGCCUUUUCACAGCCCCAUAAGUAUGGGUGAUAUUGGUCCCAUUUUACAACAAAGAAAACAACGCCUGAAAGUUAACAUAUCCCAUCCAAAAUUACUAAGUAGUGAAAGAGAAAGCUGCUUUUUUUAAAUCCAAGGUUUAAGCUGCUCAUCAUGAAAUAUAUUGAAGAGAAUUUUAUAGAGCCUGCAGCUUCGGGAUUUGAAGUCCUUUCUUAGGAAGAAUUAAAAUAAUUCUAAGUACGGAAUAGCUGGUCCCUUCAGGAGCACAUGAAAAUUCUCUCUUGAUAAAUCCACUUGCAGUAUUGACACAUAAAAGCAAAACUUCAGUUUCAAACGAAAGCCAUAAAGACUGUGGUCCAGUGUCCCCCGGAGAUAGUGGCUUCCUAGUGCAUUAUUUGGAACUAAAUGGCUCGUAAAGUCCCCAGUUGGUAGCUUUCACAGUAGAAUUAUUCUUCUUCUCAUCACUUUGGCUGUUAAAGAAGCAACAUGUUUUUAAAGGAAGAAGAGAAAGCAGACUCCAGGUCUGACUGCUUCAUGCCUUUUUCUACAUGUGGAGAAAGAGGAAAGAGAACAGAAAGAACUUGGGCAGCAACUGGACAGGUUUUGACCUACAAAGGCAGCUCCACGUUGAAAAUGAAGCCAGGCUAUCCUGGACAGCACAGCUGGCAUCUCUGUUUCAAACAGGACAGGGUCAGCGUCAAGGACAGUGAUGUUUUAAUUGGCCUUGUUAGGGCAGAAAUUUUUUCCUGGCAGCAACAAUCCUUUUAAUAUAUCAGGAGUUUGGGCCAUUUCUUAUAGGUCAUUCUUCCAACUCAUAUGCACACUAAAUGUUACCAUGUUGAAAUUUUUCUUAAUUUUUCAAUACAAAAAU
rnacentral:lncRNA from 1 species